ensembl:lncRNA
CUCCUCUGUUUUCUCAUUUAAAUUAUUACUUGAUCAUAUCUCCACAUCUUUCAAAAGCUUCCAGCAUUUUUCUUCACCUGGUUGUUCUGAAAAAAAAGAAUACUAAUGAAAAGAAAUAAAAAUCAGGUGAAAUGAAAUAUCAUAUACAUUUGCAGCAGGAAAAGUACAUCAGAAUAUACACCACUCAUUCCAUCCCCAUGUUUACAAAUUUUACUGCACUUUAAUGCAUGUCAUUAAAGUCUAUAUAUUUCAGCAAAACCUGUCCCUACACAUACUGUGUAAGAAAUUAGCGCACCAGCUAUGGUUAGCAGGAUGAGUCAUUUAUUCAAAGUCUUCCGUUGGCUGGUUCUAGAAUAUCAUCAGUAUUUUAGAAUAUAAGUUGGCUUAUACCAUACAAUGAAAUCCAAAAACAUGACCACAACACAUUGGUAGUUAUUAAUCUGUUCAUUUCUCUGUGUCUACCUAUUCUGGAGAGGGACAACACCCAAUAACCCUUCAUACGUCACCCCAAAGACAGGACCAGUUGAAAUAGCCAACAUACUGUAUACAUGUGCAAAUAGGAAAUGGCCUGUUCUUUCUUUACUGCUCACAGUGCAAUGAUUUAUUCUUUUUCCAUUCAAUGUUUGAAUCUAUUUGCCACUAAAAUAAAUUAAACCUGUCAACGAUUCUAAGGUAACUCACAGGACUGAGGUAUGGUAUCAAAAUGUUUGCCUUCCUAAUUCAUUCAAAAGAGAACUGAGGGAGAGAACAAGCAUUACACACUGGCUCUACCACACAGAGUCCAGAUACUGCGUCCCAAACUUAAGAGGAACAAGCAGGAGGAAACAAACAACAACAAACAACAAACAACAAGUUGAGUUUUUCUCUCAGGAGUAUAAAAGUGUCAAGAUGCGCAGAGCAUUAUAAAAUGCUUAGGCUCGAGUUCUAUUCUUCAACACUAAGUACAGUGUGCUUUGGAUUAAAUAUCACUCUUUUUGAAAUAAUAUUGAUAUCUUAAAUAAGUUAGACAAAAGAUACCAAUUAUAUUUUAUUUCUUUAAAACUGUGCGCUCAACUCACCAUUUGUAAAUAUGCUGGUAUGACACUUGUAAAGAUAUUUAGCUUGAGUAUUUACAGAGCAAGCCAUCAGUGUUUCAAUAUGUUCUGUCCGACACUGGACACAGGGGUAGUCACUGUCUUUGAGCAGUAAAGGAUAAUAGUAUUUGUUUAGAGCUUUUUUUUUCUUCUAUUCACACGCUAGAACAUUUCUUUGACACACCAUCACAAAAAUAUGCUAUUCUUUCAUUGAGUUGGUUAUAUGCAGUGACUGGAAUAUUAUUUACAGUUACAUUUCUUUUUCUUAAAUCUUGAAUUCACAAUGUAUUUAUAUGAAAUUGUUUUUUAUAGUAUACAUGUUUAUUCUAAACAACAAAAACAACA